UUUUAUAAUAAUAAUACCAUAACUACAUAAUUAAAAAUGGAAGUAACGAUAAAAAAUGCAUUUUAUCUAAGCAUAAAAUAUUCAAUUCACCCAUAUGUCGCUGUUUACACUAUUUUUUGUGAAGUAGUUCAGCAAAAUAGUUAUAAAAUAGCGAAUUAUUUAUUACAGAAACCAAUUCUUACAAUUUUCAUAUCUAUGGUUGUCGUGAUAUUUAUAAGUAUAGCGUUAACAGUAUCUCUUAUUUUCAUGGCUGUUAUAACUUGUCUGGUGAUCUUUUUUAUUAUGGUUGAAAGUGUUUUUACUUUAAUCAGCGUUUUUUUGUUGGCCAAUUUUCUAGUUAUAGCAGUAUUAUUAUUAUUGAUAACACAUUUAAUAAGAAUAAAAUCGUAGAUAAAAUAAUAGCGACAAUGUAUUUAUACUUAAGGAGAGCUAAUUUUUAAUUUUGUUAAGCAAAUAAAAUUAUUGUAAUUAGUUUUCAUUGUAUUAUGAUCAGCAAAUUUAUAUAACAU